GGGCUGGAGCUCAGUGGUAGAGUGCCUGCCUAGCAUGUGCGAGGCACUGGGUUCAAUCCUCAGCACCACA
rnacentral:tRNA from 1 species